GUUUUUUUAGUGUAGUGUACAAGGUUUGAUAUUCAAUCUAGCAAAGAAAGAUGCAUAACUUGGAAACAGUGACAGUUUUCUUUAUUCAACUUCGUAGCAAAGUAGUCUACAGUAGUUACUGUGUCAGGAUCUCCUGGUUUCCAACGGAAAAGUCAACCAGCCAAGGCCAGAGCGAGGGAUCUCUUCAGAGUAUGGCAAAGAAAGAUGCACCCCUUAGUAAGCACCCCUUAGUAACAGUAACAGUUCUCUUCACUCUGUCAGGACCUCCAAUCUGAACAGUCAACCAGCCAAGGACAGAGCGAGAUUUUACUUCAGAGCUGUGAUGAAUGCUGGAAUUUUGUCUUGAAUCGGAGAUCGGAAAGUUUGGGCCAACAGAUUGGUUGAGAUGGUGGGAGUCUAUAGUCAGGCCAGGAGUGGAACUGCUUACAGUAAGUGGUGUGCGUGUGUGUGUGUGUGUGUGUGUGCGUGCGCGCAC